rnacentral:rRNA from 1 species
AGAUUGAACGCUGGCGGCAUGCUUUACACAUGCAAGUCGAGCGGCAGCGCGGGGGCAACCCUGGCGGCGAGCGGCGAACGGGUGAGGAAUACAUCGGAACGUACCCCGGAGUGGGGGAUAACGCCGCGAAAGCGGCGCUAAUACCGCAUAUGCUCUGAGGAGGAAAGUGGGGGACUCGCAAGGGCCUCACGCUCUGGGAGCGGCCGAUGUCCGAUUAGCUAGUUGGUGGGGUAAAGGCCCACCAAGGCGACGAUCGGUAGCUGGUCUGAGAGGAUGAUCAGCCACACUGGGACUGAGACACGGCCCAGACUCCUACGGGAGGCAGCAGUGGGAAUUUUGGACAAUGGGGGCAACCCUGAUCCAGCCAUGCCGCGUGCGGGAAGAAGGCCUUCGGGUGUAACCGCGUUUAGUACGGAAGAAAGGUUAUACCCGUAACGAGGAUGACUGUUGACGGUACCGGACGGAAGUAAGCCACCGGACUAACUACCGUGACCAGCAGCCGCGGUAA